rnacentral:misc_RNA from 1 species
GAUGAAGAACGUAGCGAAAUGCGAUAAGUAAUGUGAAUUGCAGAAUUCAGUGAAUCAUCGAAUCUUUGAACGCACAUUGCGCCCGCCAGUAUUCUGGCGGGUAUGCCUGUCCGAGCGUCAUUUCAACCCUCGAACCCCUCCGGGGGUCCGGCGUUGGGGAUCGGGAACCCCUAAGACGGGAUCCCGGCCCCGAAAUACAGUGGCGGUCUCGCCGCAGCCUCUCAUGCGCAGUAGUUUGCACAACUCGCACCGGGAGCGCGGCGCGUCCACGUCCGUAAAACACCCAACUUCUGAAAUGUUGACCUCGGAUCAGGUAGGAAUACCCGCUGAACUUAAGCAUAUCAAUAAGCGGAGGA